GAUGAACGCUGGCGGCGUGCCUAAUACAUGCAAGUCGAGCGAACAGACGAUGCGCUUGCUCCUCUGACGUUUGCGGCGGACGGGUGUGUAACACGUGUAUAACCUACCUAUAAUACUGGUAUAACUUCGGGAAACCGGAGCUAAUACCGGAUAAUAUCUUGAUCCGCAUUGUUCAUUAGUGAAAGUCGGUUUUUCUGUCUCUUAUCGAUGGAUCCGCGCCGCAUUAGAUAGUUGGUAAGGGAACGGCUUAUCAAGGCGACGAUGCGUAUCCGACCUGAGAGGGUGAUCGGCCACACUGGAACGGGACCACGGACAAGACGCCUAAGGGAGGCAGCAGAAGGGAAUGUUACGCAAUGGGCGAAAGCAUGACGGAACAAGGGGGCGUGAGAGAUGAAGGUCUUCGGAGCGUAAAGAUCUGUUAUUAGGGAAAAACAAAUGUGGAAGGAAAUAUGCACGUAGUGACGGUACCUAAUAAGAAAGCCACGGCUAACUACGUG
rnacentral:rRNA from 1 species